UAAAAUCACCAACUAAAAUCAACCUAGUGGUAUAUUAUAAAUCUUUCGCUUCUCCCUGUGCAAAUCUCAGAGGCGCUUACCAUAAUUGCUUCACGAGGUCCUCUCUCUCUUCUCGCUCUAAAAUCUAUCUCAAAAAGUUAUAAUGGGUAUCGUUUUUGUCCGCAGGUUGUACCCGGAGAAGGAUCUAAGAUUUUUGGUUUUUAAAGAGCAGCAGGCGAAGUUGGGGAGGAUACGUGUAGAUGUAGCAAUUGUUUUGUAAGCGCCAAAAACUGUGCAUGGGCCAGGGUUAGCAGUUGCUAUUUCAUCCCAUAGAUGGCGACGCUAUUCUUAUUGAGUAAUCUUCGAAGAAAGUUACCUCUUCAGAGAAGUACUCUGGCAGCAUUCGUUAAGCACUCUCCCUUUACUUUU
rnacentral:sRNA from 1 species